AUUGAACGCUGGCGGCAGGCCUAACACAUGCAAGUCGAACGAGUGGCGGACGGGUGAGUAAUGUCUGGGAAACUGCCUGAUGGAGGGGGAUAACUACUGGAAACGGUAGCUAAUACCGCAUACCAUCGGAUGUGCCCAGAUGGGAUUAGCUAGUAGGUGGGGUAAAGGCUCACCUAGGCGACGAUCCCUAGCUGGUCUGAGAGGAUGACCAGCCACACUGGAACUGAGGCACUGUCCCGACUCCUACGGGAGGCAGUAGUGGGGGAGAUGGCACAAUGGGCUCAAGCCUGAUGCAGCAAUGCCGCGUGUAUGAAGAAGGCCUUCGGGUUGUAAAGGACUUUCAGCGGGGAGGCGUUACCCGCAGAAAAAGCACCGGCUAACGCCGUGCCAGCAGCCGCGGUAAUUC
rnacentral:rRNA from 1 species